rnacentral:tRNA from 1 species
AGGGGGAAAUAGCUCAGUUGGUUAGAGUGCUGGUCUGUCACGCCAGAAGUCGCGGGUUCGAACCCCGUUUUCCC